GGAAAGUAGAACAUCAACAAAGAGCACAGUGACAAGCAGCACCUGCCAGUUCAUUUGUGAUGUUUAAGACGCGGCCUGCAAUUGCAUGAAAUUUUCUCAGAGACCCAGAAAUUUGGCUCCUGUUAUCACGCUUUGUUGCUUCUGUUCAGAUUUAAUGAGGAGUUUGAACUUUCUAGCACCCAUUUUAAAUGUUUUCGGCAGUGGCAGUGGGUCUCCAACUUGAGCGUAGAUUAGAAUCUUCUGAAAGAUUCAUGUUCCCAAUUGCCAGGCCCCUCCCCCUGCGCUCCUGAUUCAGUAGGUUUCUUCUAGGAUCCGGGAAUUUGCAAUUCAAGAUUCACAAGUGAUGCUGCGACUGGUCCGGGGAAAUCACUGCUGAAGUGGAGGCUCUUGCUGUCCCGCCCAGAUCUCCUUUACCAGACUGUGAGCUCCAGAAAAGUAAGAAAUAAUUGGAAUGCCUAGUAUAGUAUGGGCACCAUACUCCUUUGUUGAACGAAUAAAUGCCUAAUGGAAUGGAUAGUUUUGAAAGAGUUGGAGAUUUCCAUGUUCUCACCAGGAAGGUCAGACUUCAUCAUCUAGUGAGUGGCAAAGAUGUUCAACACGGGAAAAGGUUUUGCUUGAAACCAACAUUUUAUAUUUGAAACAACUUAAACACCUAAGCAUCAGGAAUGAGCAUCGCGAAGAGUCAGACACGACUGAGCGAGUGAACUGGACUGAACUGAAAAACCUAAGCAUCAGGAACAACAAAAUGAGAAUUAAAUUAACAACAAGGAAUAACAAUUUUCAUUAAUAUAGGGCAUCAUUGGCACCAGGUUUAUAAGUAUAAUCAAAGACCAUGCAUCUUGUUCAGUUCAGUUC
ensembl:lncRNA